UGAAACAGAAAAGAAUAAAGGCAUUCAACAAUAAUGCUAAUACUAACAUGUUUCUCCUAAUUCAUUCACUGUCAUUAUUUCUUCUUGUUU
rnacentral:ribozyme from 13 species